rnacentral:lncRNA from 1 species
AAGGAGGACUGGCAGCUCUGCCUCCAGACUCUCAUAAGGAUCUCCUGGGACAAUGGUUGAAAGUCUCUCUCUGUCUAUACUGUAACUCCUGGCUGUGUGUGAGUGGCUGAGUGGCUUGGUGCUCUGCUGUGUCUCCAGAGUGAUUUAUCAGGUUUGCAGGGAAGAGAGACAGAGAGUGGGAGAGAGGGGGAGACAACUCCGGUAGCAGGCAGGCAGCAGUUACCAGCCAGCUGGCUGGGUGUGUUAACUCCACAUCUGACCUCUAUGGGAACAGAGCAGCCUCCUCUUCUCUCCUCUCCUGGCAGACUGUGGGAACAAGGGGGCAUAGAUCUUCCUCCCCCCCCCCCCCUCUCCCUGCUUCUCGUCGGGCUGUCGAGCUCAGGGUACCGGUCCUGGACAGAACAGGACAUGACAAGACAGGACAGCUUUGGCAGCAGGAGACCCGGGCUUUGAGGAUUGCACUGCCGACUGAUUCUUGGAGCUGAAAUGGCACAGUUGGCACCGUCAGGCUGUCGGUCAAGCAGUCAUGUAGUUUUCUAGUCAGUUAGUCAGCCAGUAAUUUGGUCAGUGGUGUGUUUACCAAAGUGUCUUCCACUUUGUUCAUGUCCUCAUCUGAACUCUGCGUAGCCAAAGCGGACCUGUGGGCAUGGUGCUCCACAGCUGCCGUGGAAGGAGGCAUAUGCCGCCAAAGACAGACGUGAGCAGAGGAGCAGACGUGGACCUGGAAUGGCAGAGAGGUACAGAGAGGAUCCGGCCUCUGCCCCCGGCUGUGGUGGGGAGGGUUCCUGGCAUCGUGAUUUGAUGCACAAAGAGAAACAAAAAUCACAUUGCCAGGGAUUUCCACUCCUUCACAGCUCAGCAGGCUACAAGCACCCCCCCCUCCUCCCCUCUCUGUCUUUCUGUGCUGUCAAAGGCCAGACUGACACUGGAGUUCAUUGUGAGGUAAUCCCAGUGAAAUGUCUGCUAUGCCUGUGUAAUUGAUGUCACCCAGCAGUCCCCAUUAUCAGUGAUUGGGAAUGUGUGCAAUGCUGCUUUCCGUCCCACUCUCCAGACACCUCUCACAAGGAAAAGUGCUUCAUCUUAAGGAUUUCAUACCCAGAGGAAAGUGGGAGCUGAUCAGCAAGCAUGAUGAAUCUGCUCUUAUCCGGCUCCUCUGCAGAUCGCGGCUGGCACCAAAAAAUUAUAUUUCUGUUGCUUUGAAUUUCUGCAGAUAAAUGUUCUGUUCAGAGCUGGGGGAGAGGGAGCCAGAGGUUAGAAAGUCACUUUUUUACAUCAUGUCAGUGGUGUGAUAUUCACUGCAGGGCAUUGCUGGAGCCAGGUGGUACCACCAACACCACUGUUCCCCAUGAUUUGUGUUCAAUCUAACAAAAUGUGUAAGACAAUGGUGCAUGAAGUGCAUUAUUCUAAAUGUCAGUGCGUUUCUUACAAGCAUUUUUUUUGGAGCAUGAUUUAUUCUGAUGUUUCAGGUGCAGUCAUUGUUUCACUUCAGUAUUAAUGCAAUAAAGUUUAAAUGGGCC